rnacentral:sRNA from 1 species
GAUACAAGGGUCCCAAGGUCAAAAGCCGUUCAUGCUUGCAUGAUAAGGCUUUUGACCUUGGGACCCGCCAAACAUGAGAAAGUAGCGAUUUACGUAGUAAAUCAGCGGAUUUCGAAUGUUUGCAGAAUUGCGGGAGCUGCUUUGCAGCGGAGCAAUUCGCAGGCAUC